rnacentral:rRNA from 1 species
AUUGAACGCUGGCGGCAUGCCAUACACAUGCAAGUCGAACGGCAGCACGGGUGCUUGCACCUGGUGGCGAGUGGCGAACGGGUGAGUAAUACAUCGGAACGUACCUUAUCGUGGGGGAUAACGCAGCGAAAGCUGUGCUAAUACCGCAUACGCCCUGAGGGGGAAAGCGGGGGAUCGAAAGACCUCGCGCGAUUAGAGCGGCCGAUGCCUGAUUAGCUUGUUGGUGGGGUAAAAGCCCACCAAGGCGACGAUCAGUAGCUGGUCUGAGAGGACGAUCAGCCACACUGGGACUGAGACACGGCCCAGACUCCUACGGGAGGCAGCAGCGGGGAAUUUCGGACAAUGGGGGCAACCCUGAUCCAGCAAUGCCGCGUGAGUGAAGAAGGCCUUCGGGUUGUAAAGCUCUUUUGUCAGGGAAGAAACACCGGCUCUAACACAGUCCGGGAAUGACGGUACCUGAAGAAUAAGCACCGGCUAACUACGUGCCAGCCGCCGCAGUAA